rnacentral:lncRNA from 1 species
GUGAAAAGUGUUGAGGGUUUGAAUGGUGCACUAGAAGAGUCCACGAUGGUGGACACAUUGAAAUAAAACGUACAAGACCGAUAUCCACCAUCAUGGAUGCAGGGGUUGCCUUUCACCAGCAGGAUCCUGACAUUGUAAAGGUUAAGAAGGUGAACUUUGUAGCCUUUAUAGCUAUAGUAAUUAAUGGCACUGCCGGGGUGGAGAGAAGGUCCAGGAAGAUAGAAAAAAAUAGUGGAUGUGGCGGGGCGGUUCCUGGUGCUGAAAGAUUUCUCAGUGAAGGCGUUAAACGGAAUAGUGGCACAAGGCGUACCACCCUCUCAGGUCCUAGAGCCUGAGAAGGGAGAUUUGGAUAAUUAAAAGAAGGAAGAAGUUGGAGUUUUGUUUGUUUUGGCAAAGUAUUAUUUUUGGGGUGUUAGUUUCACUAUUAGUUAGUUUCACUAUUACGUAUGGAUUAUUUUUUUGUAUUUUUUGGGAGGGAUUUCAACCUAUCCAGUUGGUGGCGGCAGCACACUUUUUUGAGUUGUAAUCCGCCAUAAAAACCACAGAAGAAGAAGCCGCUUCCUACUGGCUCGUGACAUGCAUGACACCAUCACGUGAUAGGUGUCUCGUGACGUCGCCUUAUAGUUUGUCAGCUGACAGGUAACCAUGGUUGACAGAGGAAGAACAAUGAUUCCAAGCACCACCCUCCUUUUGAAGCUUCCAGCCUGUUAUUGGAAUUCAAUCAGCAUGACAGCGUGAUCUCCGGCCUUGACCUCGUCAACACUCACACCUGUGUUAAAACCUCUUCAGCAUCUCGUCCCGUCAGCGGGAUCAAAAUCCAGGGAAAACUCCUAGCGACAUUAGCAUAACGAAAUUUAAUAUAUAUAUUUUUUCAAAUAUAGGACUGUCUAUCGUUUUAUAGAUACACCUCUCCUGAAUCGACCCACGUCGUCCGAUUUCAAAAAGGUUUUACAGGAAAAGCAAAUCAUUAGAUUAUGUUAGAGGAGUCCAUCGUAAAAGCAGCAACAUAGCCAUUUUCCGACCAACCACAUGCAUCACAAAUAACCCAAAAACAGCUAAAUGCAGCACUAACCUUUUACAAACUUCAUC